AGAGUUUGAUCCUGGCUCAGGAUGAACGCUGGCGGCGUGCUUAACACAUGCAAGUCGAACGAUGAUCCCAGCUUGCUGGGGGAUUAGUGGCGAACGGGUGAGUAACACGUGAGUAACCUGCCCUUAACUCUGGGAUAAGCCUGGGAAACUGGGUCUAAUACCGGAUAUGACUCCUCAUCGCAUGGUGGGGGGUGGAAAGCUUUAUUGUGGUUUUGGAUGGACUCGCGGCCUAUCAGCUUGUUGGUGAGGUAAUGGCUCACCAAGGCGACGACGGGUAGCCGGCCUGAGAGGGUGACCGGCCACACUGGGACUGAGACACGGCCCAGACUCCUACGGGAGGCAGCAGUGGGGAAUAUUGCACAAUGGGCGAAAGCCUGGUGCAGCGACGCCGCGUGAGGGAUGACGGCCUUCGGGUUGUAAACCUCUUUCAGUAGGGAAGAAGCGAAAGUGACGGUACCUGCAGAAGAAGCGCCGGCUAACUACGUGCCAGCAGCCGCGGUAAUACGUAGGGCGCAAGCGUUAUCCGGAAUUAUUGGGCGUAAAGAGCUCGUAGGCGGUUUGUCGCGUCUGCCGUGAAAGUCCGGGGCUCAACUCCGGAUCUGCGGUGGGUACGGGCAGACUAGAGUGAUGUAGGGGAGACUGGAAUUCCUGGUGUAGCGGUGAAAUGCGCAGAUAUCAGGAGGAACACCGAUGGCGAAGGCAGGUCUCUGGGCAUUAACUGACGCUGAGGAGCGAAAGCAUGGGGAGCGAACAGGAUUAGAUACCCCAGUAGUCC
rnacentral:rRNA from 1 species